GAUGAAGAACGUAGCGAAAUGCGAUAAGUAAUGUGAAUUGCAGAAUUCAGUGAAUCAUCGAAUCUUUGAACGCAUCUUGCGCUCCUUGGUAUUCCUUGGAGCAUGCCUGUUUGAGUAUCAUGAGCAAACCUCAAAGUCAAUUCCUUUUGUUAAUUCAAUUGGUUUUGCUUUGGACUUGGAGGUCUUGCAGAUUUCACAGUCUGCUCCUCUUAAAUGCAUUAGCUGGAUCUCAGUAAUUAUGCUUGGUUCCACGCGGCGUGAUAAGUAUCACUCGCUGAGGACACUGUUAAAAAGGUGGCCAGGAAAAUACUGAUUGAACCGCUUCUAACGGUCUAUUAAGUUAGACAAUUACCCUUAAGUUUGAUCUCAAAUCAGGUAGGACUACCCGCUGAACUUAAGCAUAUCAAUAAGCGGAGGA
rnacentral:misc_RNA from 1 species